GAUGAACGCUGGCGGCGUGCUUAAUACAUGCAAGUCGAACGAAAAGAUGAGGAUUUUACUCCACUCACGUUAGGGGCGGGCGGGUGAGUCACAGGUGGAUAACCUACCUCUAAGACUGAGAUAAGUGCGAGAAAGCGGAGCUAAGACCGGGUAAUAUUUUUAGCGGGAUGGUUCAAUAGUGAAAGAGGGGUUUGAUGUGACUUAGAGAUGUAUCCGUGCCGCAUGGGUAAGUUGGUAAGGUAACGGCUUCGCAAGGCAGCAAUGCGUGGCCGAACUGAGAGGGUGAUGCGCCACUCUGGAACUGGAACACGGCCCAGACUCUUACGGGAGGCAGCAGUACGGACUCGUCGGCAAUGGGCGAAAUCCUGACGGAGCAGCGCCGCGUUGGUGAUGAAGGUCUUCGUAGCGUAAAACUCUGUUAUUGGGGAAGAACAAUUGUGUAAGUAACUAUGCACGUCUUGACGGUACCUAGUCAGAAAGCCACGGCUAACUACGUG
rnacentral:rRNA from 1 species